UGGGGAAUAUUGGACAAUGGGCGCAAGCCUGAUCCAGCCAUACCGCGUGGGUGAAGAAGGCCUUCGGGUUGUAAAGCCCUUUUGUUGGGAAAGAAAAGCAGCCGGUUAAUACCCGGUUGUUCUGACGGUACCCAAAGAAUAAGCACCGGCUAACUUCGUGCCAGCAGCCGCGGUAAUACGAAGGGUGCAAGCGUUACUCGGAAUUACUGGGCGUAAAGCGUGCGUAGGUGGUUGUUUAAGUCUGUCGUGAAAGCCCUGGGCUCAACCUGGGAAUUGCGAUGGAAACUGGGCGACUAGAGUGUGGCAGAGGAUAGUGGAAUUCCUGGUGUAGCAGUGAAAUGCGUAGAGAUCAGGAGGAACAUCCGUGGCGAAGGCGACUGUCUGGGCCAACACUGACACUGAGGCACGAAAGCGUGGGGAGCAAACAGG
rnacentral:rRNA from 4 species